AAGUGAGUUUUCACCCCCAUUAAAGGUGGAUAAUUUCCCUUCCAGGUUAAAUCCCAAUAUUGGAUCUAUAUUACUACUUUGCCCCAUAUUUCUCCUUAAAGCCCUUACGCUAGAUCCUAAUACUUGAAUUCCCUCACGAUUUCCACCCCAAUCUCCCUCUCCUUCUUCGCGCAGCCAAAUACUAUUCAUCGCUAGGGCUCUUCUAGAUUGUGCUCGCAAAGAUAAAUCUCAUCCCAUAUCAGCAACUUCCAUUCCUAGCGCCAUCUUCGCUUCACAAAAAGAGGCACUAUGCC
rnacentral:lncRNA from 1 species